UGGGGAAUAUUGGACAAUGGGGGCAACCCUGAUCCAGCCAUGCCGCGUGAGUGAUGAAGGCCUUAGGGUUGUAAAGCUCUUUCACCCGGGACGAUAAUGACGGUACCGGGAGAAGAAGCCCCGGCUAACUUCGUGCCAGCAGCCGCGGUAAUACGAAGGGGGCUAGCGUUGUUCGGAAUCACUGGGCGUAAAGCGCACGUAGGCGGACCGUUAAGUCGGAGGUGAAAAUCCUGGGGCUCAACCCCAGAACUGCCUUCGAUACUGGCGGUCUCGAGUCCGGAAGAGGUGAGUGGAACUGCCAGCGUAGAGGUGAAAUUCGUAGAUAUUGGCAAGAACACCAGUGGCGAAGGCGGCUCACUGGUCCGGUACUGACGCUGAGGUGCGAAAAGCGUGGGGAGCAAAACGGGAUUAGAUACCCCGGUAGUCCACGCCGUAAAACGAUGAAUGCCAGCCGUCGGGCAGCAUGCUGUUCGGUGGCGCAGCUAACGCUUU
rnacentral:rRNA from 1 species